GUGGGCCUGGGCAUGAAUGCAGCAGGGGUUCGUGUGGCAGAGCGGGGAGGGCUGCGUCCCUGAUUGUUAACACGGAAAGGAGAUGGGAGAAGGAAGCAGAGGCGUGUCCCUGUUCAACAAGUUCAAAGUACCCUCUGGCUGUUUGAAUCCAUGAUGUGCAAUCAGAACAAUUAACUUCUCUACCACCUCUGUCCUGCGCUGCCUCGGGUCCCUUUCUGUGGAUUGCUCUUUCCCCUCGUUGUAAAGUACCACUUCUUCCUACUUCUUUGGCAGGUGGAGGGGUCCUGUCUGACCUGACGCUGCGGGAGUCGGGCCCAGGACUGGUGAAGCCCUCGCAGACCCUCUCCCUCACCUGCACUGUCUCCGGGGACCCUGUCACCAGCAGUUACUACUGGAAUCGGAUCCGUCAGCGUCCUGAGAAAGGGCUGGAGUGGAUGGGGUACUGGACAGGGAGCACAGCUACAAACCGCUUUCCAAAGCCGCAUCUCCAUCGCUGCUGACACGUCCAAGAACCAGUUCUCCCCACAGCUGAGCUCUGUGAGCACCGAGGACACUGCUGACUCAGUCCCUCACAGAGGCCUGCAUUACCAUGUGUCCACACAGAAGCCUCCAUUGUUCUCUAGCAUAUCAUCCAAUGUCAUCUUGCAAGAAACUGAACAAGCAGGCGAAUUUGCCAUCUGUCUUCUUCCCACCCAUGUUACAAUUGGUGCUGAAGGUCUCUUCUGCUUCUGCUUAGAUGGAAGCCCACACGUUCCUUGGGAAGAGAAAGGUUAGGCACCCUUGCAUACCGGGUGCCUCCCCUCUGGGCUGUGCUCUGAGGCAUGAGAAGGCCACUGGCUGCUCUGGGAAAAUCCACCUGCGGGAAGGCUGUGAUUUCUCCAGCAGGAGCACGACAGUCAUGUACAGGGGUCCUGUCCCAGGGCCGCUGCCAGAGUCAAGGCCAGGACUGGAGAAGACUUUGCAGACCCUCUCCCUCUCCUGCUCUGUCUCUGGAAUCUCCUUCAUCAGCAGUUACUUUCGGGCCUGAAUCCGGCAGCCUCCAGGAAGGGGCUGGAGUGGAUGGGCUGCCUCGGCUCCAGUGGUGGCUCACGCCUCGCCUCAGCCCAUCCUUUCAGAGCCGACUCUCCAUCUUCAAAGACACAUUUGUGAACCUGCAGCUGAGCUCUGUGUCCACUGAGGACACAGCCUUGUAUUACUGUGCGAGACUCACAGAAACACACAGAGAGGGCAAGUCAGUGUGAGCCUAGACCCAAGCAUCCCUGCAGGGAGACUGGAGGGGCUGGGAUGCAGGGGAUGCUCAGGACCACAGAGUAUGGGGACCAGCUCGGGAGCAGGUGAAUGGUGGCACAUGUCCUCUGUUACUCUGGUCUGGGGCUUUCUUCUCUGUCCUCUCCCAAGGACUCACUGUCCUCACAUUGUCUUGCACCUUCUUUAACACCUUAGAGGAAGCUGGUUACUGCCUCUGCUCAAUUAUUUAAAAUAGUCAGAGGAGUCCUUACUACUUCCUUCAGUUUGUACUCCAGGAGACACUGCAACAUAUGUCACAAAUUGGGAGAGGCCUUGGGCAGUGACUGGAAGUAUGUAACUGCAGCACCAGGAACCAAUUACCUCAGGCAGUAGUGAAAAUGGGCCAGUCUUCUCUCGUCUGCCUCUGUUGAAUGAAACACACAAGUGCUUUAAUCCAGUGAUAUUAAACAAAUAAAUAGCCUUCUCUUCCCCA
rnacentral:lncRNA from 1 species